rnacentral:rRNA from 1 species
GGUGAACGCUAGCGGUGCGCCUAACACAUGCAAGUCGAGCGGGAAGCUUUUCUAGCUUGCUAGAAAAGUAGAAAGCGGCGAACGGGUGAGUAACACGUUGGAAUCUGCCCCCAAGUCAGGGAUAGCCAUUGGAAACGAUGAUUAAUACCGGAUGUGCUCUUCGGAGUAAAGAUUUAUCGCUUGGGGAGGAUCCUGCGUACUAUCAGCUAGUUGGUGAGGUAAUAGCUCACCAAGGCUAUGACGGUUAACUGGUCUGAGAGGAUGAUCAGUCACAAUGAAACUGAGACACGGUUCAU